UGGAGAUGAGAGGGAGCCAAAAUCCAAGCAGAGAGGCAACAUGGUUUGAAACCUAAGCAAGAUCAGACCUAGCUAAUACUUGGAUGGAGUACAUUAGGGAAUGUCCAUGGAAAUAUCAACAGAUUUACCAGAAUAUGUUCAUUGCUCUAUGCAGUGGAACAUUUACUUCUUUUUAAAGUACCCAUAACUUCCUUUUGUUUUCUUAUCAAUAUGGAUCAACAUCUGCAAGGAAGUUAGACUUUCAUAAAGUGAUGAACCUUCCCAAGUGG